GGUGAACGCUGGCGGCGUGCCUAAUACAUGCAAGUCGAGCGAACGGACGAGAAGCUUGCUUCUCUGAUGUUAGCGGCGGACGGGUGAGUAACACGUGGAUAACCUACCUAUAAGACUGGGAUAACUUCGGGAAACCGGAGCUAAUACCGGAUAAUAUUUUGAACCGCAUGGUUCAAAAGUGAAAGACGGUCUUGCUGUCACUUAUAGAUGGAUCCGCGCUGCAUUAGCUAGUUGGUAAGGUAACGGCUUACCAAGGCAACGAUGCAUAGCCGACCUGAGAGGGUGAUCGGCCACACUGGAACUGAGACACGGUCCAGACUCCUACGGGAGGCAGCAGUAGGGAAUCUUCCGCAAUGGGCGAAAGCCUGACGGAGCAACGCCGCGUGAGUGAUGAAGGUCUUCGGAUCGUAAAACUCUGUUAUUAGGGAAGAACAUAUGUGUAAGUAACUGUGCACAUCUUGACGGUACCUAAUCAGAAAGCCACGGCUAACUACGUGCCAGCAGCCGCGGUAAUACGUAGGUGGCAAGCGUUAUCCGGAAUUAUUGGGCGUAAAGCGCGCGUAGGCGGUUUUUUAAGUCUGAUGUGAAAGCCCACGGCUCAACCGUGGAGGGUCAUUGGAAACUGGAAAACUUGAGUGCAGAAGAGGAAAGUGGAAUUCCAUGUGUAGCGGUGAAAUGCGCAGAGAUAUGGAGGAACACCAGUGGCGAAGGCGACUUUCUGGUCUGUAACUGACGCUGAUGUGCGAAAGCGUGGGGAUCAAACAGGAUUAGAUACCCUGGUAGUCCACGCCGUAAACGAUGAGUGCUAAGUGUUAGGGGGUUUCCGCCCCUUAGUGCUGCAGCUAACGCAUUAAGCACUCCGCCUGGGGAGUACGACCGCAAGGUUGAAACUCAAAGGAAUUGACGGGGACCCGCACAAGCGGUGGAGCAUGUGGUUUAAUUCGAAGCAACGCGAAGAACCUUACCAAAUCUUGACAUCCUUUGACAACUCUAGAGAUAGAGCCUUCCCCUUCGGGGGACAAAGUGACAGGUGGUGCAUGGUUGUCGUCAGCUCGUGUCGUGAGAUGUUGGGUUAAGUCCCGCAACGAGCGCAACCCUUAAGCUUAGUUGCCAUCAUUAAGUUGGGCACUCUAAGUUGACUGCCGGUGACAAACCGGAGGAAGGUGGGGAUGACGUCAAAUCAUCAUGCCCCUUAUGAUUUGGGCUACACACGUGCUACAAUGGACAAUACAAAGGGCAGCGAAACCGCGAGGUCAAGCAAAUCCCAUAAAGUUGUUCUCAGUUCGGAUUGUAGUCUGCAACUCGACUACAUGAAGCUGGAAUCGCUAGUAAUCGUAGAUCAGCAUGCUACGGUGAAUACGUUCCCGGGUCU
rnacentral:rRNA from 1 species